UACGUAGGGGGCAAGCGUUGUCCGGAAUUACUGGGCGUAAAGGGUGCGUAGGCGGUAUGGUAAGUUAGAUGUGAAAUCCCCGGGCUUAACUCGGGAGUUGCAUUUAAAACUGUCAGACUAGAGUGCAGGAGAGGAAAGCGGAAUUCCUAGUGUAGCGGUGAAAUGCGUAGAUAUUAGGAGGAACACCAGUGGCGAAGGCGGCUUUCUGGACUGUAACUGACGCUGAGGCACGAAAGCGUGGGGAGCGAACAGGAUUAGAUACCCUGGUAGUCCACGCUGUAAACGAUGGAUACUAGGUGUAGGGACCUAAAAAGGUUUCUGUGCCGCAGCAAACGCAAUAAGUAUCCCGCCUGGGGAGUACGACCGCAAGGUUGAA
rnacentral:rRNA from 1 species